UUUGGAAACUUUUUUUAAUUUUUGAUUUUUUUUCUAAUUAAUGUUUCUUGGGGCUGGGUUUUAUAAAAUAUUAUUUUCUAUUGUUAAUUUUAAAAGCUACUUCGGAGUUAACAGGAUUUUGGAUGUAUAAAAAGGGUUUUAUUUUAUUAUACUAAAUUACAUCGAUGUUGUAUAAUUUGUUGUUUGGGAAGAGAGAAUGUUUUUUUUUUUAAACUGUUCUUCUUUUAAAAUAAUA
rnacentral:rRNA from 1 species